rnacentral:tRNA from 1 species
GUAUGUCUAGCUCAGUCGGUAGAGUGUAAGACUUUUCAACCUUGAGGUUGUGGGUUCAAGCUCCAUGGUGGGCG